AUACGGAGGAUGCGAGCGUUAUCCGGAUUUAUUGGGUUUAAAGGGUGCGUAGGCUGUUUGGUAAGUCAGGGGUGAAAUGCCGUCGCUCAACGACGGAGCUGCCCUUGAUACUGCCGAGCUGGAGUACGGAUGCCGUUGGAGGAAUGAGUGGUGUAGCGGUGAAAUGCAUAGAUAUCACUCAGAACACCGAUUGCGAAGGCAUCUGACGAAUCCGUCAUUGACGCUGAGGCACGAAAGCGGGGGGAUAGAACAGGAUUAGAUACCCUGGUAUUCCACGCCGUAAACGAUGAUGACUAACCGCCUGCGAUAUAGUGUAGGUGGCCAAGCGAAAGCGAUAAGUCAUCCACCUGGGGAGUACGACCGCAAGGUUGAAACUCAAAGGAAUUGACGGGG
rnacentral:rRNA from 1 species